CCCGGUGGCCAUGCCGGAGAGGUCACACCCGUUCCCAUCCCGAACACGGAAGUUAAGCUCUCCAGGGCCGAUGAUACUGCCGCUGUAAGGCAGUGGGAAAGUAGGACGCUGCCGGGA
rnacentral:rRNA from 1 species